CAUUAUCCGUUUCCAUCUUACUAUCUGCUCCCAUCCUAUCCAUCUCAAAUCUUUUUUUCGAGCUAUUCACAUCUCUUUGCAUCUAACGCAACCGACGUAAACACGACAAAAGAUUUUGUUGUCAAACUUCAAAACAAUGAACCGCGUAAUCAAAGUUGGUCGUCUGGAAGCAGCAAGGAUUAUCUCCUGCCGCAUCCGGAAGAGAAGCAACAGGAGCAAUCCAAUAACAGUAUCGGAGCUGAUAUGAUUCGGCUGAGGGAGCCGGAGCCAGGGGUUGAUCUCCGUAUUCCGCUUCCGAGACAAGAACGGCCGAGCGGAUUUUUCUUCGACGUCGAGAUGGUCUAUUUCACCUUCUACGGUCACCUGCAGCGAAUCUGAUGAGAGUACGGAUGUUGAGCAAGCAGAAACAGUAACGACGGCUUCACCAACGGAGACAACCAUCAAGAAGCUGGAAGGAUCCCGCGAAGGAACCACAAAACAAGUUUCGACGACAAAUGCCGGAUUGAAGCUAAAUGUUCCGGUGGUCGAUGGAACAAUUAUGGCUAAUAAUCACUGUACAAAAUGGGAGCUAUGGGUUCAAAGAGCCUCCCUUUGCGUUGCUGUACGCUAGGCGAUAUGAAGCUAAGAGUUUUUAGGCUCUCACCGUUUGCAUGCUGCAUAAUUCAAUUCCCGGUGGGAAAUGCAAGAACCUAUGACGGGUACCUACUAAUGUGAUGCCAGGAGUAGUCUGUUAUCGGGACCUAUAACGGCACCGAUCUGAAUUAGAAAUUGUAUCUAAGUUGAAACUGAAUGGAAAGAAUUAAAGUAGCGGUGAAUUGUGAACAAUCAGUAGCUUUCUGAAUAAAAAAAAUUGUAUUAACA